AGGUGAGCUGGGACAGGUGUGUACAGGUGAGCCGGGACAGGUGAGCCGGGACAGGUGUGUACAGGUGAGCUGGGACAGGUGUGUACAGGUGAGCUGGGACAGGUGGGUACAG